GAGAGAUCUGACGGUACUGAUGAUAGCCACGGCUAUCGUGCCAGCAGCGCGUAUACGGGAGUGGCAAGCGUAUCCGGAAUUAUUGGGCGUAAAGCGUCGCAGGCGGCCCUUCAAGUCUGCUGUUAAAAAGUGGAGCUUAACUCCAUCAUGGCAGUGGAAACUGUUGGGCUUGAGUGUGGUAGGGGCAGAGGGAAUUCCCGGUGUAGCGGUGAAAUGCGUAGAUAUCGGGAAGAACACCAGUGGCGAAGGCGCUCUGCUGGGCCAUCACUGACGCUCAUGGACGAAAGCCAGGGGAGCGAAAGGGAUUAGAUACCCCUGUAGUCCUGGCCGUAAACGAUGAACACUAGGUGUCGGGGGAAUCGACCCCCUCGGUGUCGUAGCCAACGCGUUAAGUGUUCCGCCUGGGGAGUACGCACGCAAGUGUGAAACUCAAAGGAAUUGACGGGGGCCCGCACAAGCGGUGGAGUAUGUGGUUUAAUUCGAUGCAACGCGAAGAACCUUACCAGGGUUUGACAUCCUGCGAAUCUCUUGGAAACAGGAGAGUGCCUUCGGGAACGCAGUGACAGGUGGUGCAUGGCCGUCGUCAGCUCGUGUCGUGAGAUGUUGGGUUAAGUCCCGCAACGAGCGCAACCCACGUCUUUAGUUGCCAGCAUUUAGUUGGGCACUCUAGAGAGACUGCCGGUGAUAAACCGGAGGAAGGUGUGGAUGACGUCAAGUCAUCAUGCCCCUUACAUCCUGGGCUACACACGUACUACAAUGCUACGGACAAAGGGCUGCAAGUUCGCGAGGACAAGCAAAUCCCAUAAACCGUGGCUCAGUUCAGAUCGUAGGCUGCAACUCGCCUACGUGAAGGCGGAAUCGCUAGUAAUCGCAGGUCAGCAUACUGCGGUGAAUACGUUCCCGGGCCUUGUACACACCGCCCGUCACACCAUGGAAGUUGGCCACGCCCGAAGCCGUUACUCCAACCCUUGU
rnacentral:rRNA from 1 species